ensembl:lncRNA
AUUUGUAGCAAAUAACUUCCAAAAAAGUUGGGAUGCUGCCUAAAAUGUAGAUAAUAAAAGAAUGCAAUGAUGUGCAAAUCAUUAAAACCUUACAAUCAAUAGAAAAUAGAAAAAAUAGAUUUCAUUAUUUCCUGAAAAAUAAAUGCCCACUGAAUUUGGUGCCAGCAACACAUUUAAAAAAAAAAGUUAGGACAGGGGCAACAAAAGACUGGAAAGGUUGUGUAAUGCUAAAACCUAAACCUGGUGGAACAUCACACAACUAAUUAGAUCAAUUGGCAACAGGUCAAUAACAUGCUUGGGUAUUAAAAGAUCAUUCUAGAGAGGAUGAGUCUGUCAGAAGUGAGGAUGGGGAGGGGUGUGGGCAAGUAGUGCAACAAUUUAAGAAUAACAUUUCUCAAUGUAAAAUUGUUUGCAGAUCUCAUCAUCUACGGUACAUAAUAUCAUUAAAAGAUUCAGAGAAUCUGGAGAAAUCUCUGGAUGCAAGAGACAAGGUGGAAAACCAAUUUUGGAUGGCUGUGAUCUUCAGGCCCUCAGAUGGCACUGCAAUAAAAAACAGAUAUGAUUAUAUAGUGGACAUCGCUGCACAGGCUCAGAAACACUACUGAAAACCGUUGUCUGUGAACACAGUACGUCACUGCAUCCACAAAUGCAAGUUAAAUCUCCACCAUGCAAAGAAGAAACCAUAUAUAAACAAGAUCCAGGACUGCUGCUGCCUUCUCUGGGCCAGAGCUCAUUUAAGAUUGAGGCGAAAUGGAAAAUCAAAAUUUUUAAUUAUUUUUGGGAAUCAUGGACAGGGCAUCCUCCGGACUAAAGAGGAGAGGGACCAUUUGGCUUGUUACCAGCACACAGUUUAAAAGCCAGCAUCCGUGAUGGUAUGAGGGUGCUUUAGUGCCCAUGGCAUGGGUGAAUUGCACAUCUGUGAAGGCACCAUUAAUGCAGAACAAUAUAUACAAGUUUUGGAGCCACGUAUGCUGCCUUCCAGACAACGUCUUUUUCAGGGAAGGGUUAUUUCAGCAAGACAAUGCCAAACCACAUUCUGCACAUAUCACAACAGCAUUGCUCCGUAGUAAAUGAGUCCAGGGGCUAAACUGGCAUGCCUGCAGUCCAGACCUGUCCCCCAAUGAAAUUAUUUGGCGUAUUAUGAAACGAAAAAUACAACUUGUUGAGCAGCUACAAUCCUAUAUGAAGCAAGAAUGGGAAAACAUUUCACUUUCAAAACUCUCCUCAGUUCCCAAACGCUUACAGAGUGUUGUUAAAAGAAAUGGUGAUGGAACACAGUGGUAAACCUGCCCUUGUCCCAACUUUUUUGAAACAUGUUGCUGGCAUCAAAUUCAAAAUGUAUUUUUCCAAAGACCACAACAUUUCUCAGUUUCAGAAUUUGAUAUGUUGUCUUUUACUAUUUUCAAUUAAACAUAGGGAUACAUGAUUUGCACAUCUUUGCAUUCCGUUUUUAUUUGCAUUUUACGCAGCAUCCCAAAUUCUUUGUACUUUGUACAUUGGUCACUUGCGCCUGGCACAAAAUCAAAGCAGCAUUUCCUUUCUGACAGCAGUGCCAUGCUGGAGGGGAGAAAUCAACAGGCAAAAAUAACAGCCAGUCACAACAUUGCUGGGUAUGUCAUAUAGUGAAACACAAUCAGUAUGUUAUAAAUGCAGAUCUAUCGCUGAACAGUUUGUUAAAUUACAAUGCAAAAAUUAAACUGCCAUGUGUAGCACCUUUUAAUAGGUGUAAGUGUACCUGCAGUCGUUCUCGUGAGGCACUACACAAAAGGACGUGUUGGUAGUAUAAACGCUAGACAAGGAGACUGAAAGGAAAGUCAUUUGAAUCUCAGUGAAAUGCUCUGGGAAAAGGUAGUGUGCAGCAGCAAGCCAAAUACAUUGUGCAGAGACCGGUUCUGCUGCUGGGCUGAUGCCCUUUUCCGGCCCUGUGCAACUCUCCUCGUAGAACCGCCGGUCUCCUGGCAUCUCCUCCAUGCUCUUGAGACUGUACUGGGAGGCACAGC